AACGAACGAAUUAAAUCUACGGAUUUAAUUUAGAUUCAUUUUAUAAUUUAUCGGUUUUAGUGAGAAAUCACAUGUCGAAAUACGAGAUUUAUUUAAAUAAACAGUAUCAAGCAUAUACGAGCACACGAUCCAUCUUACAGUUACAGAAUCACCGAGACAGAGAAAAUACAUCAAUAAUUCUCCUCUACAUUUUUUUUUCCUUUCUUUUUCUUCUCUUUUUCUUUCCAUUAAUUUUGUUCCCCACUCCAUCAACUCCACUACCCUAUGCUCCCCACCAUCUCCACUACCUUUGCUCCCCAUCAACUCCAACACUUCACCCAUUCCUUCCAUUUCGCACCAGCAAUCACAAAGAGAAGGAAGACUUGGCUUAACUACUUUGCCAAGAUUUCAAGCUGCUCCAGUCCAGUAGUACCCCAACACUCGAAGCUAGAGUUUAUUGGGUGAAAAACCGUGCAUGAGGUAAGGCAGCGAAUCUGCCAUAAGCACACUGCUCCGGCAGUGUUUUGCAAGGCGAUUCCAGCCAUCCAAACGGUUCCCAAAAAUUCCCAAAUUAAUUGUGUAUCAUCUUUCAUACAUUUUCUAUAUUUUGGUAAAAUUUCAGAAUAUUUAG
rnacentral:lncRNA from 1 species